rnacentral:rRNA from 1 species
GUCUUUUUGAAGUUAAUUUAAAGUCUGGCCUGCUCAAUGAAUUUUAAAUAGCCGCAGUAUUUUGACUGUGCAAAGGUAGCAUAAUCAUUAGUUUUUUAAUUAAAAGCUUGUAUGAAGGGUUAAACGAAAAAAUUUCUGUCUCUAUUUAAUUUAGUUAGAAUUUUAUUUUUAAGUGAAAAAGCUUAAAUUUUUUUUAAAGACGAGAAGACCCUAUAGAGUUUUAUAAAUAAAAAUUUAUUUAUUAUAUUAUUUAUAAUUAAAUUUUAUUUAUUUUUUUGGGGUGAUAGAAAAAUUUGAUAAACUUUUUAAAAUUAAAACAUUAAUUUAUGAUUUAUUGAUCCAUUUAUUUUGAUUAAAAGAUUAAAUUACCUUAGGGAUAACAGCGUAAUUUUUUUAAAGAGUUCUAAUCGAAAGAAAAGUUUACGACCUCGAUGUUGGAUUAAAAUUAAGUUUUGGUGUAGAAGCUAAAAAUUUAGGUCUGUUCGACCUUUAAAAUUUUACAUGAUCUGAGUUUAAACCGGUGUAAGCCAGGUUGGUUUCUAUCUUAAAAUAAAAAAAUAUUUCAGUACGAAAGGACCAAAUAUUAAUAAAAAUUAUAAAAUUUUUGAAUAA